rnacentral:rRNA from 1 species
GACGUAGGAUGCAAGCGUUUUCCGGAUUCAUUGGGCGUAAAGAGUUCGUAGGUGGUCUGUUAAGUCUGGUGUUAAAGAACGGGGCCCAACCCCGGUAGUGCACUGGAUACUGGCAGACUUGAGUGCGGUAGAGGUAAGUGGAAUUCCCAGUGUAGCGGUGAAAUGCAUAGAUAUUGGGAAGAACACCGGUGGCGUAAGCGACUUACUGGGCCGUAACUGACACUGAGGAACGAAAGCCGGGGUAGCGAAUGGG